rnacentral:rRNA from 1 species
GGGUUGUGAGGUUAAGCGACUAAGCGUACACGGUGGAUGCCCUGGCAGUCAGAGGCGAUGAAGGACGUGCUAAUCUGCGAUAAGCGUCGGUAAGGUGAUAUGAACCGUUAUAACCGGCGAUUUCCGAAUGGGGAAACCCAGUGUGUUUCGACACACUAUCAUUAACUGAAUCCAUAGGUUAAUGAGGCGAACCGGGGGAACUGAAACAUCUAAGUACCCCGAGGAAAAGAAAUCAACCGAGAUUCCCCCAGUAGCGGCGAGCGAACGGGGAGGAGCCCAGAGCCUGAAUCAGUGUGUGUGUUAGUGGAAGCGUCUGGAAAGGCGCGCGAUACAGGGUGACAGCCCCGUACACAAAAAUGCACAUGCUGUGAGCUCGAUGAGUAGGGCGGGACACGUGGUAUCCUGUCUGAAUAUGGGGGGACCAUCCUCCAAGGCUAAAUACUCCUGACUGACCGAUAGUGAACCAGUACCGUGAGGGAAAGGCGAAAAGAACCCCGGCGAGGGGAGUGAAAAAGAACCUGAAACCGUGUACGUACAAGCAGUGGGAGCACGCUUCGGCGUGUGACUGCGUACCUUUUGUAUAAUGGGUCAGCGACUUAUAUUCUGUAGCAAGGUUAACCGAAUAGGGGAGCCGAAGGGAAACCGAGUCUUAACUGGGCGUUAAGUUGCAGGGUAUAGACCCGAAACCCGGUGAUCUAGCCAUGGGCAGGUUGAAGGUUGGGUAACACUAACUGGAGGACCGAACCGACUAAUGUUGAAAAAUUAGCGGAUGACUUGUGGCUGGGGGUGAAAGGCCAAUCAAACCGGGAGAUAGCUGGUUCUCCCCGAAAGCUAUUUAGGUAGCGCCUCGUGAAUUCAUCUCCGGGGGUAGAGCACUGUUUCGGCAAGGGGGUCAUCCCGACUUACCAACCCGAUGCAAACUGCGAAUACCGGAGAAUGUUAUCACGGGAGACACACGGCGGGUGCUAACGUCCGUCGUGAAGAGGGAAACAACCCAGACCGCCAGCUAAGGUCCCAAAGUCAUGGUUAAGUGGGAAACGAUGUGGGAAGGCCCAGACAGCCAGGAUGUUGGCUUAGAAGCAGCCAUCAUUUAAAGAAAGCGUAAUAGCUCACUGGUCGAGUCGGCCUGCGCGGAAGAUGUAACGGGGCUAAACCAUGCACCGAAGCUGCGGCAGCGACGCUGAUGCGUUGUUGGGUAGGGGAGCGUUCUGUAAGCCUGUGAAGGUGUGCUGUGAGGCAUGCUGGAGGUAUCAGAAGUGCGAAUGCUGACAUAAGUAACGAUAAAGCGGGUGAAAAGCCCGCUCGCCGGAAGACCAAGGGUUCCUGUCCAACGUUAAUCGGGGCAGGGUGAGUCGACCCCUAAGGCGAGGCCGAAAGGCGUAGUCGAUGGGAAACAGGUUAAUAUUCCUGUACUUGGUGUUACUGCGAAGGGGGGACGGAGAAGGCUAUGUUGGCCGGGCGACGGUUGUCCCGGUUUAAGCGUGUAGGCUGGUUUUCCAGGCAAAUCCGGAAAAUCAAGGCUGAGGCGUGAUGACGAGGCACUACGGUGCUGAAGCAACAAAUGCCCUGCUUCCAGGAAAAGCCUCUAAGCAUCAGGUAACAUCAAAUCGUACCCCAAACCGACACAGGUGGUCAGGUAGAGAAUACCAAGGCGCUUGAGAGAACUCGGGUGAAGGAACUAGGCAAAAUGGUGCCGUAACUUCGGGAGAAGGCACGCUGAUAUGUAGGUGAAGUCCCUUGCGGAUGGAGCUGAAAUCAGUCGAAGAUACCAGCUGGCUGCAACUGUUUAUUAAAAACACAGCACUGUGCAAACACGAAAGUGGACGUAUACGGUGUGACGCCUGCCCGGUGCCGGAAGGUUAAUUGAUGGGGUUAGCGGUAACGCGAAGCUCUUGAUCGAAGCCCCGGUAAACGGCGGCCGUAACUAUAACGGUCCUAAGGUAGCGAAAUUCCUUGUCGGGUAAGUUCCGACCUGCACGAAUGGCGUAAUGAUGGCCAGGCUGUCUCCACCCGAGACUCAGUGAAAUUGAACUCGCUGUGAAGAUGCAGUGUACCCGCGGCAAGACGGAAAGACCCCGUGAACCUUUACUAUAGCUUGACACUGAACAUUGAGCCUUGAUGUGUAGGAUAGGUGGGAGGCUUUGAAGUGUGGACGCCAGUCUGCAUGGAGCCGACCUUGAAAUACCACCCUUUAAUGUUUGAUGUUCUAACGUUGACCCGUAAUCCGGGUUGCGGACAGUGUCUGGUGGGUAGUUUGACUGGGGCGGUCUCCUCCUAAAGAGUAACGGAGGAGCACGAAGGUUGGCUAAUCCUGGUCGGACAUCAGGAGGUUAGUGCAAUGGCAUAAGCCAGCUUGACUGCGAGCGUGACGGCGCGAGCAGGUGCGAAAGCAGGUCAUAGUGAUCCGGUGGUUCUGAAUGGAAGGGCCAUCGCUCAACGGAUAAAAGGUACUCCGGGGAUAACAGGCUGAUACCGCCCAAGAGUUCAUAUCGACGGCGGUGUUUGGCACCUCGAUGUCGGCUCAUCACAUCCUGGGGCUGAAGUAGGUCCCAAGGGUAUGGCUGUUCGCCAUUUAAAGUGGUACGCGAGCUGGGUUUAGAACGUCGUGAGACAGUUCGGUCCCUAUCUGCCGUGGGCGCUGGAGAACUGAGGGGGGCUGCUCCUAGUACGAGAGGACCGGAGUGGACGCAUCACUGGUGUUCGGGUUGUCAUGCCAAUGGCACUGCCCGGUAGCUAAAUGCGGAAGAGAUAAGUGCUGAAAGCAUCUAAGCACGAAACUUGCCCCGAGAUGAGUUCUCCCUGACCCUUUAAGGGUCCUGAAGGAACGUUGAAGACGACGACGUUGAUAGGCCGGGUGUGUAAGCGCAGCGAUGCGUUGAGCUAACCGGUACUAAUGAACCGUGAGGCUUAACCUUACAACGCCGAAG